GACCACGUAGCUCAGUUGGCAGAGCAUUGAACUAGUAUCCCAAAGGUCGCGGGUUCGAUUCCCACCGUGGCCA
rnacentral:tRNA from 1 species